UCAGCGGCGAACUUCAGUGAUAAUUUUAACCGCCAGAGGAUCACACAUGUCGCAAUAUAAGUACCUGUCUGGCUUUGGGUCCCACUUUUCAUCCGAGGAUGAGCGGUAUCCCAACUCCCUGCCAGUUGGACAGAACUCACCUCAGGUUUGUCCCUAUAAGUUGUAUGCGGAACAGCUUUCGGGAAGUGCCUUCACAGCUCCGAGGACCGAGAAUGUGCGAACCUGGCUCUACAGGAAGUUACCUUCUGCUGUGCACCUUCCAUUCCAACCCUUCAAGGGGGCCAAGUACUUUAGACAAAACUGGGAUGAACAGCCACCGAACCCAAAUCAGCUUCGGUGGAAACCCUUUGAUCUGCCACCAAAGGAUGGAAAACCAGUAGACUUUGUGGAAGGUUUGCAUACGGUUUGUGGUGCCGGAGAUCCCAGAUCUCGUCAUGGUCUUGCCAUACACAUCUACUCCUGCGACAUAUCCAUGGAUAACUCGGCUUUCUACAAUAGUGAUGGCGAUUUCUUGAUUGUUCCCCAGCAAGGAAUAUUGGAUAUAAAAACGGAGUUUGGAAGAAUGACCGUGGCUCCCAACGAAAUUUGCGUUAUACCUCAAGGCAUUCGGUUUGCUAUUAAUGUGAAUUCUCCCUCCAGGGGUUACAUCCUGGAAGUUUAUGAUGGCCACUUCGUUUUACCGGAUUUGGGUCCCAUUGGUGCUAAUGGCUUGGCCAAUCCCAGAGACUUUGAAACUCCUGUGGCCUGGUUCGAUGAUCAAGACGUUAAAGAUUUUCAGGCUAUUUCUAAAUUCCAAGGAAGCCUCUUUGUGGCCAAACAAAAUCAUACUGUAUUCGAUGUGGUGGCUUGGCAUGGAAACUACGUGCCCUUUAAGUACGAUCUUUCCAAGUUUAUGGUGAUCAACUCGGUGAGCUUUGAUCAUUGUGAUCCGAGUAUUUUUACCGUACUCACCUGUCCGAGCUUGAGGGCUGGAACAGCCAUAGCCGACUUUGUGAUCUUCCCACCACGUUGGUCUGUACAGGAGCACACUUUCCGGCCACCUUAUUACCAUAGAAACUGCAUGAGUGAGUUCAUGGGCCUGAUCCUGGGCAAAUACGAGGCCAAGGAGGAUGGCUUUGCUGCUGGAGGGGCAACUCUCCAUUCGAUUAUGACCCCUCAUGGUCCAGAUGUAAAGUGUUUUGAGGGUGCCUCCAAUGCUAAAUUGGUCCCAGAACGAGUGGCUGAAGGAACUCAGGCCUUUAUGUUUGAGUCUUCCCUGAGUUUGGCUGUGACCAAAUGGGGCGAGGAAACCUGCCAGAAACUAGAUGCAGCUUACUACGAAUGCUGGCAGAACUUGAAAAACAAUUUCCAAAAAACUUAAAAUUUAAAGUAAACAUAGACAAAAGGUCGACAUAAUAAACGCAGAAUUUAUUUCACAAGUGGACAUAUCUUAAUAACUGGACGGACAUAUUUUAAUUUUCCUUUUAAAAUAUUGUAUAAAUAAAAAAUACGUUGUAAAUACAGAUUUUUAAAAUGUUUGUAAA